rnacentral:rRNA from 1 species
GACGAACGCUGGCGGCGUGCCUAAUACAUGCAAGUCGAGCGGACGGAUGGGAGCUUGCUCCCAGACCGUCAGCGGCGGACGGGUGAGUAACACGUGGGCAACCUGCCUGUAAGACUGGGAUAACUCCGGGAAACCGGGGCUAAUACAGGAUAACUCUUUCCCUCACAUGAGGGAAAGCUGAAAGAUGGCAUCUCGCUAUCACUUACAGAUGGGCCCGCGGCGCAUUAGCUAGUUGGUGAGGUAACGGCUCACCAAGGCGACGAUGCGUAGCCGACCUGAGAGGGUGAUCGGCCACACUGGGACUGAGACACGGCCCAGACUCCUACGGGAGGCAGCAGUAGGGAAUCUUCCGCAAUGGACGAAAGUCUGACGGAGCAACGCCGCGUGAGUGAUGAAGGUUUUCGGAUCGUAAAACUCUGUUGUCAGGGAAGAACAAGUACCGGAGUAACUGCCGGUACCUUGACGGUACCUGACCAGAAAGCCACGGCUAACUACGUG